UACUGCUAUCAGUGUUCGAUUAAGCCAUGCGAGUUAAAUGUUCUUCGUGAACAUGGCGUACUGCUCAGUAACACGUGGAUAACCUGCCCUAAGGUCCGGCAUAACCCCGGGAAACUGGGGAUAAUACCGGAUAAACCAUAGAUACUGGAAUGUUCUGUGGUUAAAAGUUCCGGCGCCUUAGGAUGGAUCUGCGGCCUAUCAGGUAGUAGUGGGUGUAAAGUACCUACUAGCCGACGACGGGUACGGGUUGUGAGAGCAAGAGCCCGGAGAUGGAUUCUGAGACAUGAAUCCAGGCCCUACGGGGCGCAGCAGGCGCGAAAUCUUUACAAUGCGGGAAACCGCGAUAAGGGGACACUGAGUGCCAGCAUAUUAUGCUGGCUGUCCACCUGUAUAAAUCACAGGUGUUAGCAAGGGCCGGGCAAGACCGGUGCCAGCCGCCGCGGUAACACCGGCGGCCCGAGUGGUAGCCACUAUUAUUGGGCUUAAAGCGUUCGUAGCUGGGUUGUUAAGUCUCUUGGGAAAUCUCACGGCUCAACCGUGAGGCGACUAAGAGAUACU
rnacentral:rRNA from 1 species